CCUACGGGAGGCUGCAGUGAGGAAUAUUGGUCAAUGGACGAGAGUCUGAACCAGCCAAGUCGCGUGAAGGAUGAAUGCCCUAUGGGUUGUAAACUUCUUUUAUAUGGGAAUAAAAUGUUCCACGUGUGGGAUUUUGUAUGUACCAUAUGAAUAAGGAUCGGCUAACUCCGUGCCAGCAGCCGCGGUAAUACGGAGGAUCCGAGCGUUAUCCGGAUUUAUUGGGUUUAAAGGGAGCGUAGAUGGGUUGUUAAGUCAGUUGUGAAAGUUUGCGGCUCAACCGUAAAAUUGCAUUUGAUACUGGCAGUCUUGAGUACAGUUGAGGUAGGCGGAAUUCGUGGUGUAGCGGUGAAAUGCUUAGAUAUCACGAAGAACUCCGAUUGCGAAGGCAGCUUACUAAACUGCCACUGACAUUGAUGCUCGAAAGUGUGGGGAUCAAACAGGAUUAGAUACCCCUGUAGUC
rnacentral:rRNA from 1 species